rnacentral:lncRNA from 10 species
GUGGAAGCAGGUGUAGAAAGGGCAGGAAAACGGGAGUGUGCAAUGUGGGCAGAGCCAUGGAGGCAAAGGACAGUGGCCGCCUCCAGCAUCAGCAGCUGUGGAGUCAGCAGAAACCAACCCCUCCACUCAAGGGACAAGAGGAUCCACAUCUUAGCUUGUUAGCAUCUUAGGUGGAUCUCAAACGUCUUGUGAUGAGAAUCAUCCACCCCAGGUCGCCUGAGUCAGGACUUCUGCAGGUGCAGCCUGGACAUCCCAGGUAAUUUUAAAGCUUCCCAGGUAAUUUGAUGUGCAGUAGGCAUCAAAAACCUCUAAUCCUGAUCAGUGACACAGAGGGUACAUCCUGGCCUAUCUGAUCCUCAGAAGCACUUUAGAGCUUCCUAAAACUGCAUUUCAGGAGGCCCAGGGCAGGGUCUGUGUUUGUCUCCUGCAGCUGCCAAAACGACCAACCACAACCUGGCUUACAAGAAGAGGUUUAUUGCUCGCGGCUCUGCAGCACAAAAGUCUGAGAGCAAGGUGUCCGCAGGGCAGCGCUUGCUCUGCAGGUUCUAGGGAAGAGUCCCUCCCGCCUCUGCAGCUUCAGGUGCCUCCCUGCAACCUCUGCCUCCCUCCCUCGCUGCAGAGCCUUCUUCUCUCUGGGUGUGUCUCCAUCACCUCUCUUCUAAGGACAACUGUCAUUGGAUUUAGGGUUCACCCUGGUAGUACAGGAUGACCCAUCUCAAGAUCAUCCAUUUAAUUACAUCUCAAAAGACCCUUUCCAAAUAAGGUCACAUUCACAGGGUCUGGAUAUUAGGACAUGGACAUAUGGGGAGGGAGCACCCUUUAAUCCAUGACGGCCCAAGAGUUUAACAUUUUUAGUGAAUUCCUCGAGUCACAUGGUGAUUGGGAACAGCUGGCCAGGAGGACACCUCCACGCUCGGAUCUUAUGUCUUCAGCCACCACUUUGUUCUCCGAGGGUUUCCUGCUGCUGGUCCCGGCUCUCUAAUUCUGCUGUCCUUUUUCUGGGGACAAGGGCCUUUGUAAGGAUUCAGUAAACAUGCAGCGGUGAGAAUGGGAAAGAUGCCUCGCAGGACUGCCGGCGAGCAGCUCCUUCUCCAGAGCCCCCGCUGCACGGCCGCUCUCCCUCGCAGCCUCGCCUCUCAGGGGUGCGCCCAUCUGUUCACACGACAUCUGUGGUAAUUUAAUAAACGUGGGCACACAGAAGGCGGCUCCGCUUUGGGAAGACAUUUAACCUGCUGCAGAGGUAGAGCCUAACACAUGUGACCCACACCAUGUCAAAAUGCAAAAGAGUAAAAGAGUAAUGUAAAAAUGAGAAACUGGGGAGAAUCUCAGCACCACCAAAGCAGCAUUUAACUGCUUUUUAAGAAAAAGUAGGCCCUUUGUUUCCAUUCUAUUUUACUAAAUACCACUAAAAAAACCUAUCUUCCUUUCUUAUUAUUUACCCUCUAUAAUUGACCUUCCUACUAGUUAGCGAUAGCCAUUUGUCUCCAUUUGUAAAUACUUGAAGAGUAGCAAAAAUUUAAAUUAUUUUUAACAGAAGCUAGGAACAAUAUAAUCAUUUAUAAGCAUACAUUCUUUAGUAACUCUGAGCUAUCUUCAUAAUUUACCCAGAAAGAAUCUACCUUAAGAAGGAAGUCUCCUCUUGAUUUCCUUUCUCAGUCAGCCCAAUAUAGGGCCUGCUGUUUCUCUUUCAUUGCCAUAAAUUCUCAAAUGGCCACAUCAUACAUGACACUAAGAAGCUUAGCCCGGACAGUUGCAAGAGUGAAAGAUGCCUCUGACACAGUGGAGGAGCUGGGAUGUGGACUUGGCUGGUGAGGCCGGAGGGACAGAGUGAACACACGUUUGCAUCAGACAUGCUGGAUUCCAGGGUCAGGUGUGCCGGCAUGUGGCACCGGCAGCCGACAAUACUGGGUUCUGAGCAGUUCAGGACUGGAGACUGAGAACUGUGUGUCAUUCAGACACAUACUUGGAGUAUCCAGUGCUGGAAGCCAUGAGAAAGGGCAUGACUCAGGGUGUGACACUGGGUCGAGAGCAACAGUCUGACAGACACCCUAAUCCAGCACUGGCCACAGACAUCGGGCAUCAGAGACAAGCCUCCACAUAGACGCUGCCAUGAGUCAAAUCUUGCCCCGAAAAUUCAAGUUCUCCUGGAAUCUCAGAAUGUGACCUUAAUUGGAAAUAGGAUCUUUGCAGAUGUAAUCAAGGUAAGGCUGGAGAGGAGAUCAUACUGCAUUGGAGGGGCCCGAAAUCCAACAGGAGCAUCCUUAGAAGAGACAGAAAAGGACACACGGAUGAAAGAUAGCCACGUGAAGAUGAAGGCGGAGACUGGGGUGAUGCUGCCACAAGCCAGGGACACCAAGGGUGCCUGGAACCACAGAAACUGGAAAGAGCCAAGGAAGGAUCCCCCGGCCUGCAGCCUCCAGAGGGAAGCAUUCUGCCAACCCCUUGAUUUUACACUUCUUGCCUCCAGAACUGUGGGAGAAUAAAUGUCUACCAUGUUAAGCCGCCCAGCUCCCGAUCAAAUGUUACAGCAACCACAGUCAACUAACACAGGAACCAAAACACGAGUGGCAUUGGGCAGUGACAGGAAAGCAGUGGCUUCUGCUUCAGAGGCAUCCGGAAUUGAAGAACAAAGGGGGCGUUCCUGGAGACCGUAAGGGGCACGUUCAUGGAGCAGAGGAAGCAGAGACAUGAGCGAUGGUGGGCGGAAGUCCACACCAGCCGGAAGAUCACCUUCUCCACAAGUUAGGCAACCAACAGGAGGAACCAGAAGGGACAGGCCCCAGGAGUGUUUGGGAGAGUCAAGAAAAGGAUUUUAAGGUAGCAAGACCUUGUUAUACUUGAAGGCAGCAAAAAAGUCACACAUACUUGCCCUAAGAAUUGUAAAACUCAUAGAAUUGUCAGUUAAGAUGGCUACAUCCUUGGAGCAAAGAUCAAUUUACACUUCUCUACUGUACCAUAAAUUUUGUUAUGUUAUUAAACCAAAGCCGUCUUCUUACUGUGGCCUCACAUGGUCAGCCCUCUCUGCAUGACUGUUUUCUAGUCUUAUUUUAAGGACACCCAUCAGAUUAGAUUAGGGCAUAUCCUAAUGAUCUCAUUUUUGCUUAAUUUCUUCUUUAAGGCACUAUCUGUAAAUACAGCCACAUUGUAAGGUACUAGAGGGGAGAACUUCAAUAUUCAACAUUUAAAUUUCACACAGGAGGCCCAAUUCGGCUCACCAAGUAGGAGAAUGUCCUCGUUUGUAGAAAGUACACACUAAAGGAUGUGGAAGUAACGUGGCAUCAUAUCAGCAGUUUAUUUCCAGGUGAUGUGGGAAAAAAGGGUUUUUAUACUGCACUUGCAAUUUUCCUGUAAGUUGGAAAUUGUUUUUAAAAAUUGUUUUUUUAAAAAAAGCAAUCCGUGUGGGGCAUUUAAAAUGUGUGUUACUGGGUAGGUGAGUCAACCACAUUUAAUUAAAGGCUGUGGCAGCCCUGUGAAAUCUCAGCUCUGAAUGUAUUCCAGCUCUUUCUCUCGAUCUUUGUCCACGGCAAGCGUUCCACUCAGCACGGCAUUCCUCCCGCGAUCCAUUCUCAAAUGUUGGCAUGAAUUCUUAAUAUUCUGAAAGAAAAUGAUCCUGGAAAGUAUAAAAUAUUUACACCCUGCUGUCUGUUCUGCCUCGCUUGAGGAAAAUUCUCAUCUGUACACAAAUGUUCUUCAGCUUUUGAGACCAGAUGGCAGAGAGUCAUAAAAAGACUGAAAAAUUAGAAGGCGGGAAGUGGAGCGCGAUGCCCAACAGAGAGCGGUCGUUCCCUGCGGGCUCAGCGUCUUUACGCUCUUCAGAUGAAGGGUUUGCACCUACGAGGCAGUCUCGGUCUAUCAGGCUCUGUCCAUUCCUCUUCUUAAUUUCAUAUAAAUCUCCUUUCUGCCCCCUGCACAUGACCCACGCCCAGGGAAAAUGCCUCAUUGCAAACGCUAUCAUCCGUUGGGGCCACUGAACAGGGGUGGGAUGGCUGUCGCAGCACUGAUCCCCCUGCAGGGAGGCUGACCUCAUGAGGUCUGCGAGCCUCCAUCACCGUCUUCUUCGCGGGCUCUGGGCUAGGAACUGCCCGCAGCCUCACUUGAAGGCCUUCUGUCUCUCACUUUCUCGGUCCAUCUGACCUAAUCUUGCCACUGUGAUCAUCACAGGCAAAGGUGUCAGGAGACCCCGCCAGCACACAGCAGCUGCGCUUGGGGCCUCCUAGGUUCACCUGGGGCAGCGGUCCCUAGCACGCGGGCCAGGUGAUGCCCUUCAAUCCCGAGCCAGACGCCCUCCUGCUCUUCAAUAUCACCUGUCAGUCGCCAAGGCCCUCCAUGUGAGCUCCUCCAGAAGCGGACGCUCAGGGCUAUUCGGGAGGUGAUCCCAGCAAACGCCAGGAAGGGCUGGGAAGCGAGACAGGAAAGGAGAGGAAGGCAACCCAGGGUGGGAAAGCAGGGGCGGCCUCCUGGGCUGCUGAGCCUCAGCUCGGGGCCACGGGAAGACACCCUGGCACCUGCUUCCGAGCCGUCCUCCCCGGGGCCGGGCUGGGCUCUCCAGAGGGCAGCCUCGCAGGGGCUCCGCGGGACCCUCCAGCCCUGGGGCCUG